UACGUAGGGUCCGAGCGUUGUCCGGAAUUAUUGGUCGUAAAGGGCUCGUAGGCGGUUUGUCGCGUCGGGAGUGAAAACACGGGGCUUAACCCCGUGCCUGCUUCCGAUACGGGCAGACUAGAGGUAUGCAGGGGAGAACGGAAUUCCUGGUGUAGCGGUGAAAUGCGCAGAUAUCUGGAGGAACACCGGUGGCGAAGGCGGCAUCCUGGACCGGUAUUGACGCUGAGGCGCGAAAGCCAGGGGAGCAAACGGG
rnacentral:rRNA from 1 species